GCCGGAAGUUGGGCGUUGCCUCGUCGCGCGAGUCGGUUGCUCGCGGACCCGGCCUUGGAGACGCAGGUUCGGAGCCCUGAGAUUUGAAUGGCGUCGCGCCGUGGACUUUUGUUGAGAGAAUCAGCCUCCAACCCACAACAUCGUGGUGAAUGGGAAAGAAUGUGUAAACUUUGCCUCCUUUAAUUUUCUCGGGUUGCUGGCCAACCCCCGGGUGAAGGAUUGGUCCAGCAGAGGUCUUGAGGUCCUGUGCUUCAGUGUUCUCCUGAGGCAUGAAUGAUCUGCUCAUGCCGGACCCUCGACUGUGGGUGGUGCCAGAUAAGGCCCGGACUUUUUGCAAGGCUUGGACAGGCCUUGUCCCUGAACGCUGCACGUCCUGCCUGAGACUUCCACAGACCUUUUUAUUAUUUGGACCAAAUAUAUGGCUAGUCCUUGGUUCCUGAGUUUGGGAAAUCUUGGUGAGAUUCCUUUCUCUUGAGAUGAGAGGGUGUCUGUCAUGAGACUUUGACUGAAUUGAAGGGGACAGAGUCUUGGAACGGAAUUUGGAGGCCCUGGAAGCUAGGAUAUCUGCAGCAAGCAGAACCUCCGGAGCACAGUCUUGAAGGAAUGUUCCAGUGGCAUAGUCCUGCAGGACAACACCUGCAGGGGCCAGGCAGUGAGGUGUGCUCAGACCUGAGUCUUCUGGAUCCUGGGAAAUGGGUCUGAAACGGGAUGGAGUCUCACUGGUCUCCUGUGAUUCACUGUUGGUUGGAGACUUUGCCAACUCCCCAGCUUCCGUGGUGAGCCCCCAGGAAGAAGACUCUUCCUCCUCUGCCUCUUCCAGACGCCAGGCACCUUACUGUCUUUGGUAUGUCUCCACCCCCUGCUUGAGCAGUUUUUCAGGGUUUCUUCCGUCUUCUCCUUUCCUCGUCCCACUAGGGAAACACUUUGUGCAUCUCUUCUUGGGAGGCUCAUGUGGUAAGUUUCCUCCUCUGUCUCUGAGAUUUCCUCAAGAACUUUGCCUAGGGGACCUUCUGGGCUCCUGUACAGAUCUCUCUUUGUUCUUUGCAAGCAGUCUAUCAGAUCCAUGCCUGGAUCCCUCCAUGUCUGGAAUAUCUCUGGACCCUCUGAGUGGACACUCUGUGGAGGCUGGCUGUUGUCAUCUGCCCGUGACGAGGGGCAUGGACUGCUAUGAUUACCUUCUUCCUGACUUGUUACUGACAGUUUGUCCUGAGACGUCAUAAGGUCCAGAGAUAGUUGGACCUUGUGGGGCUGUUGGCCCUGUUGUAUGAAUCUCGUUAGUAACUGCUGUUCUAACUGCUCCUGAAACCUGGUCUGAAUGAAUUCCCCCGGGAGUUGGACAACAGACCCAUGGCCCUUGGACACCCAACUAUUUGAAGUGAGUGGAUUCCAAGCUUCGUGGGACUUUUUCACCAUGACUGGUAAUUCACUCCUACUUUCCUGCUGCUUCUUCAAAAUGUGGAGCUCUAGGUGUUGAACAGCAGGUGGAACAAUAAAUUGACGAUUUGAGGUCAUAGCACAAGAAGCCCCAUAAUCCCUAAUUAGAGGUGAACAUCGUGGUAGCUUUGGGAGAGAGGAUGGGUCACGGGCCUGAGUUUGGAUGGCAGCCGAAGACAUCUUUUGGGUCAAAGUUUGGGCUGUGACUGGGUGAUGAAGCACAGGCUUUGGAGAGAAGAGCUGUGGAGGUCUGUUAGUUUGAAUGUGUAAUGGUCUGUAUGUAGAGAAUACAUUGAAUACGAUGGAGGGGAGAUCUGGCAGGGACCCUGCCAUGUUGAGAGAAGCCACAAGGGACUCACUGUGGAGAAAGGGGAAGCCCCAGAAAAGCUGGCUACAUUUCAUCUCUAAAUGGUCGCCUGAGAACUUCUGGCAAAAUAACUCUUGAUGACCUGAAAACUCUUCUGAAUUGCAGUUUCUGCUCCAGAAGUUGUGUGAGGUGGUGGUGGCCUGCUUUCUGCUCCAGGACUGCAGCAUACUGUCCUGGUGGCCCAAAACACGGUCAGAUCUUUCUUCUCCUUUCCCCUUCCAUACUUUGAGCUGGACCCUCUUUGUAAUCUGAAGUUCCAGCAUGCCAUGGACGUCAGGGUUGAUGAAGCAGGGCUCCCCAGCCUCUAUCUGCAUGGAUUUAGAGCCUGUCCAGAAUGAGGCUUCUUGGAGGCUGGGGGAAAGAUAAUCUUUCAAGGACUCACCAUGUAACAAGUUGGUGUUGCACCAGAUAUUGGCAGCUACCUGAUACCAGGAAGGGCCAGGGAUAGGUCUACUUGUUUCUUCAAGGACUGGGGUGGUUGAAGUAGACCUACUUAAAUGAUCAAAGCCAGGUUUGCUUAAGGUAGGCCUGCUUGAGUUGUCAAGGACAGGGGUGGUUGAUAUAGGCCUGCUUGAUUUGUCAAGGCCUGGCUUGGGUGACGUAGGCCUGCCAGAAUAUUCAAGGCCUGGGGUUGUUGAGAUAGAUGUGUUUGGUUGUUCAAGGCCUGGGUUGGUUGAGGUAGGCAUGUGUGAGCUGUCAAGGCCUGGGUUGGUUGAGUUAGGCCUGUUUGAGUGGUCAAGGCUGUGGGUGGUUGAUAUAGGCCUACUAGAGUCAUCACAGCCUGGAAUGGAUGCCUUAGUUGUGCUUGACUGGUCAAGGACUAGGGUUGUUGGGAUGGCAGUAGGCAAAUCUGGCAGAGGUGUGCUCUCUGAGCUCCACAAUGCUUUCCACUCACACUGAGGAGACAUCGUGCUGGGAAAUGGAGGACAAGCCACAGGAUCAGGAGGAUGAGAUGGGAGGGAAGGUGUGUGUGGUGGUGGUGGUGAAUGGUGUCUUCCAGGAGUCAAGGUCUCUGGAGGCUGAGAGUCACUCAUGGAUGACUUUGGCUCAGUAGAAGCUGAGGUAUUCAGCAGAACAGAUUUCAAGAUUUUAGAAUCUUUGGGUAGCAGGUGUUCCUUGACAGGUGCUGAGGAAGCCACUAGGGACAAAUUGGUGGCCACAGAUUCCUCUGUGGACUGCCUAGGUGGCAGAUGGCCUUUAGCAGCUUCUGGUUUGGACACUUCACCUGAGGCUUCUUGUCUUAAGAGGUGGCAAAAGCUGAUGGCAUCAACAAGCUUCCCUAGCAUGCUGUGGGAGACAGGAGAUAUCAUUGCAGCCAGGAGCACAUGGGACCAGGAGGCUGGACAGUCUGAGUAGGGAAGGACCCUCACAGAGACCAUCACAACCACUGUCCCACACUCUGCUUUCACAAGACCCUGUCAUCUUAAACUCCAGGACUGUACUCAUGUCCCACCCAUCAGGGGGGCUCCUAUUCCCUUUAUAACCUUAAGCCCUGGUCGGGUGUGAUCACAUAACAGGUAAGAGGAAAGAGGAACUGGAAAGAAUGGAGAUGGCUCACCUGCGCAAAAGGGAAACCAGUACCUUGUCCUCCUUGGGUUUCUUCCUGCUGCCUCUGUAAGCUGGAAAUGGAGACUGGGUUAUGGUGGGUAAAGGAAGGACCUGGAAUCUUACCAGAGACUGAAUGAAAUGUCCCUUCAGUAGAAAUGAAAGUUUAAACGGGAGCUCAGGCCUCCGUGAGCAAGGCUGCAUGCCCAAAUGCCUCGAGAGCAAGGCACAUGUGUGUCACGACUCUGGCAUGAAUAAGGUACUUCAGUUUCUAAGGGCAUUCAUGGGCUUCAUAAUCUCCCUGCUGAGGGGAGCAGAAGACCAGUGUUCUGAAAGAGGAAGAUGUCUCAGAGAUGUUUAAAACCCAUGUGCCUCCCCAUCCAGGCAAAAUGGUACCACUUCCUCUCACACCAUCACUCCCUGGCUGUCCCCCAGCUCCAUUCCAAACACAGAACCUGGGAAGUGUCUUCAGUACUUGGUUCCUUUGAAGGAGCAGCAUCCUUGAGGGUUCUGCAAAUCCUGUGGUGUCAUCACUGGGAGGGAGAUUAUGAAGACCAUGAAUGCCCUUAGAAGCUGAAGUACCUUAUUCAUGCCAGAGUCGUGACACACAUGUGCCUUGCUCUCGAGGCAUUUGGGCAUGCAGCCUUGCUCACGGAGGCCUGAGCUCCCGUUUAAACUUUCAUUUCUACUGAAGGGACAUUUCAUUCAGUCUCUGCAUGCUAGGGAAGCUUGUUGAUGCCAUCAGCUUUUGCCACCUCUUAAGACAAGAAGCCUCAGGUGAAGUGUCCAAACCAGAAGCUGCUAAAGGCCAUCUGCCACCUAGGCAGUCCACAGAGGAAUCUGUGGCCACCAAUUUGUCCCUAGUGGCUUCCUCAGCACCUGACAAGGAACACCUGCUACACAAAGAUUCUAAAAUCUUGUCAUCUGUCCUGCUGAAUUCCUCAGCUUCUACUGAGCCAAAGUCAUCCAUGAGUGACUCUCAGCCUCCAGAGACCUUGACUCCUGGAAGACACCAUUCACCACCACCACCACACACACCUUCCCUCCCAUCUCAUCCUCCUGAUCCUGUGGCUUGUCCUCCAUUCCCCAGCACGAUGUCUCCUCAGUGGUGAUUGCUGAAAUAUCAGAGAAGCAGAUGAGCCAGCCAUUAGAGAAACUUCUUACCUCUAGAAAUCUCAGACAAAAAAGGGCUGAGCUACUGUGUAUACCCCACAUUAUCACUUCUACUCUCUGCCCAACCAUAUCACUUCCUGUCUCCUGAAUGUACAGACCUCCAGACCUCUAUGGUUAACUAAUGGCUAGCACCAACUGCUGAUCUUCUGGCAAGUGUUAUUUGUCAGAACAUAAACAAACUACUAAAACACCAGGCCUAAACCAUUCUAGGAGGCCUACCUCAACCACCCCAGGCCUUGACCACUCAGGCAGCCUUUCCUCAACCAACCCAGGCCUUAAUAACUCAAGCAGGCCUAUUUCAACAAACCAGGCCUUAACCAUUCUAGGAGACAUCCCUCAACCACCCCGGGCCUUGACCACUCAGGGCGCCUUACUUCAACCAAACUAGGCAUUAAUCACUCAAGCAGGCCAACCUCAACCAUCCCAGGUCUUGACCACUUAGGCAGCCCUACCUCAACCAACCCAGGCCUUAAUCAUUCAAGCAGGCCUAUGUCAACCACUCCAGGCCUUAACCGUUCUAGGAGGCCUCCCUCAACCAUCCCAGAUCUUCACCACCCAAGCAGGCCCAUGCCAACCACCCCAGGCUUUGACCACUCAAGAAGGCCUAACUCAAGCCUUUCCUGGUACCAGGUUGCUGCCAAAACCUGAUGCCACUCCAGCUCAUCUCAUGAUGAAUCCUUGCAAGAGCAUCUUUCUCUCAGCCUCCAAGAUGCCUCGUUCUAGACAGGCCCCACAUCCAGGCAGAUGGAGGCUGGGGCACCCUCUUUCAUCAACCCUGAUAUCCAGGACAUGCUGGAAUUUCAGCUCAGCAAAAGAGUAGAACUAAAUGUUUGGAAGGGGAAAGGAAAAGAAUCAUCUGACCAUGCCUGGGCCACAUGGGCAAUAUCCUGCUGUCCUGGAGCAGCAAGUAGACCGCUACCACAUCAUGGCCCUUCUGGAACAGAAACUGCAAAUCAGGGCAGUUUUUAGGACAUUAGCAGUUCUUCUGCCAGAAGGUCUCAGGGAGAAAUUUAUAUCAGAAAUGUAGCCAGUUUUUCUGGGGCCUCACUUUCUCCACAGUGAGUCCCAAUGCCUACUGUCAACAUGGCACGAGCUCUCUACUUACAUCCCGGUACAACUUCAGACUAAUAUACCUCCACAGCUCUUUCCUACAAAGGCCUUGAUUCAUCACUUGGUCAAAUGCCAACCUUUGACUCAGAAGCUGUCCUGGACCUGAGCUCCACCAGUGGCUGCCAUCCAAACCAGGCCCCAGCCCCAUACUCUCUCCAGAAACUACCAAGCCAUUCACCUCCAAUUAGGGAUGAUGGGGCUUCUUGUCCUAAAGAUUCAUGAUCCCAAUUUAUUGUCCCACCUGCUGUUAGACACCUAGAGUGCCACCUUUUGAAGAAGCACCUAGAAAGUAAGACUGAUUUAUCAAACAUGGUUAAAAAGUAACAUAUACUGUUUGAUCAACUAACUUCCAAGAGCUGGGUACCCCAUAGACUGUAGACUGUUGUCUGCUGCCCAGGGGACCUUUUUAACCCCGAGCUCUGAGAGCAGAUGGAAGGACACUUAAAAACGAGAUUCACACAACACCAGGACUAACGGGCCUGCAAGGUCCAGCUCAGAACAAACUCCCAGGGAUGGGUCAGGCAGAAGUUACUCACUGACUCCAUGUCCCUCAGCACUGUUAGAUGAAAGCAGCAAGCAAGCAGAGUGUCUCAUCAAAGGGUCCAGAGAUGGAGAGACCCACGCAUGGUUCUGACAAAGUGGGAAGAGCUCUGAACGAUUUAUAUGGGAGCCCAGAAGUUGUGCUAGGCAAAGUUCUCAAGGCUAGCUCUGAGACAGGGAUGCAAACUUGCCACAUGAGACACCCAAGAAGUGACAUGACUCAUGAAGUGUUUCCCCGGUGGGACCAUGAAAGAAGCAGCUAGAAGACACCCUUAAAAAAACACUCAAGAAGCAAGUGGAAGCAUACCGAUGACAGUAAGGUUGUCAGUGGCAUUUUCUUUUCACGGAAUACAAAUGGACCAUACUUUGCUGCACACUAAAAACUCAGACAAAUAUGGAAACUUGGAAAAAAAAAUCCUUGAAUGAGUCAACCACCUGCAAGAAAACUUGUAAAGGGUAUCCUUCCUUCCUGGAUCCCACCACUCAGAAGGUGCUGGAAACACAUCUUACAAGACACCUGGUGAGGCUCACAUGGAGCCUUCCCCUCAGAAGCCUCAAGACCAUACAUGCUUUCAACAUGAACAAGGCUAUAGCUUGGCCCUUUCCACGGCACUCCUCUUUGUCCUCCUGAGAGUCAAGAAAUGACUCCAUUGACAAAAUGACCAGUGUCCUGGGAGAAGCUUUUCAGAAAGCCCCAGAGGAGAAAAUGAUGAAAAUAACCACCACUGUGGAAUCUCUUUCCAUACAGAUCCCUCUUUCUGCCCUCCAGCUCAAAUUCCUGAGAAAGGCUCCAUGUAGUGACAACUCUGGACCCUCUGAGGCACCUAUGACUGUUGAGGAGGACAAUAUAACUUCUGUGUCCACCCUACAGAGUCUCCUGGGCAGAGCCCAGGACCUUGGACAGACAACCCAGAGCCAAAUCCAGGCCUAGUCAAGUGUGUGUGAGUCACAGGAGAGUAAGGUGUGGCUUUUAGAGAUAUCUACCAUGAAGUGUCAGUUCGGGAGAUCAGUGUGGCAUCCUAGCCACCCAGCAGCAGGGAUAUGAGGGAGCUGGGUGAGGCAGAGGAGGAAGAGUCCUGUGACUGGACAAUCACCAUGGAAGCUGGGGAGAUGGCAAAAUCUCCAACCAACACUGGACAUUGCCUGCUAGAAUCAUUUCCCAGGAUCCAGAAGACUCGGGCCCGAGCACAUCUCACUGCUCAGCCCUGGUGUUGUCUUGCAGGACUGUGCCACUGGAACACUCUUUGAAGACUGUGACCCCAGGGUCUGCUUCUUACAGAUCCCCUGGCCUCCAGGGCCUCCCAGUCCAGCUUAGAGACUGUGUCUGCUUUAAGCCAAGUCAACCUCCCAUGACAGGUACCAUUUCUUGUCAAGAAAAGGGAAAGUCCACAAGAUUGCCAAACCAGGAACCAUGGACUAGCCAUAUCUUUUGGCCAAGUGACAAAAAAAAAAAAAAUUAUAGAACUUUGAGGCAGGACAAAUGGCUUUGAGGGACAUUGCCUGUCCUACAAUUCAAACACUAAGGAAUGUAAUUCUUCUCCAAUUACAGAGAAGAAGGUUGAAGACAG
ensembl:lncRNA